GGUGGUCUAGUUGGUUAUGACGCCUGCUUAACACGCAGGAGAUCGUCGGUUCGACUCCGGCCU
rnacentral:ncRNA from 14 species